UACGUAGGGUGCGAGCGUUAAUCGGAAUUACUGGGCGUAAAGGGUGCGUAGGUGGUUCGUUGUGUCUGUGGUGAAAGCCCCGGGCUUAACCUGGGAAUGGCCAUGGAAACUGGCGAGCUGGAGUGUGGCAGAGGGGGGUGGAACUCCGCGUGUAGCAGUGAAAUGCGUAGAGAUGCGGAAGAACACCGAUGGCGAAGGCAGCCCCCUGGGCUAACACUGACGCUGAGGCACGAAAGCGUGGGGAGCAAACAGG
rnacentral:rRNA from 1 species